rnacentral:rRNA from 1 species
UACGUAGGGGGCUAGCGUUGUCCGGAAUCAUUGGGCGUAAAGAGCGUGUAGGCGGUCCGGUAAGUCAGCUGUGAAAGUCAAGGGCUCAACCCUUGAAUGCCGGUUGAUACUGUCGGGCUAGAGUCCGGAAGAGGCGAGUGGAAUUCCCGGUGUAGCGGUGAAAUGCGUAGAUAUCAAGAGGAACACCUGAGGUGAAGACGGGUUGCUGGGCCAACACUGACGCUGAUGCGCGAAAGCCAGGGGAGCAAACGGG